rnacentral:rRNA from 1 species
AGUGAACGCUGGCGGUAGGCCUAACACAUGCAAGUCGAACGGCAGCACAGUAAGAGCUUGCUCUUACGGGUGGCGAGUGGCGGACGGGUGAGGAAUACAUCGGAAUCUACUUUUUCGUGGGGGAUAACGUAGGGAAACUUACGCUAAUACCGCAUACGACCUACGGGUGAAAGCAGGGGAUCUUCGGACCUUGCGCGAUUGAAUGAGCCGAUGUCGGAUUAGCUAGUUGGCGGGGUAAAGGCCCACCAAGGCGACGAUCCGUAGCUGGUCUGAGAGGAUGAUCAGCAACACGGAACUGAGACACGGUCCAGACUCCUACGGGAGGCAGCAGUGGGGAAUAUUGGACAAUGGGCGCAAGCCUGAUCCAGCCAUACCGCGUGGGUGAAGAAGGCCUUCGGGUUGUAAAGCCCUUUUGUUGGGAAAGAAAAGCAGCAGGUUAAUACCCCGCUGUUCUGACGGUACCCAAAGAAUAAGCACCGGCUAACUUCGUG